rnacentral:lncRNA from 7 species
AUGCUAGGCCCCCCUUUUUCUCUGCAUGUAAAAACAUCAGCCUCAUACCACAGUAACAAAAAGAUGUGUUUAUUUAACAAAGAAUAGUGUUCCUGAGGACUGUAUUCCAAGGGCUCUAAAAGUGAGAGCUGUGCUUGGCAGCAUGCUUGCUACUUUCUGUAACUCGGACCACGGUGCAACCUCUCCACCUCCCUAUGCCUUAACACAUUUGUUGCUAGAUAGCAUUUAAUUUAAUUUUUAGUAGCUCUAGUGUUCAAGAGGCAACAGAGGAGAAGCUGGUGAACGUUUGGGUGGCAGACAGCUUACAGAUUUGGAGAGGAAACUCAGACCUUGAAAACUAGAGAAAGCAGACCUUUGCUUUCUCUUUGCUCUUUGCUUUGCUCUUUGCUGUGCUUCUGAUACGGAGCAAGGACACUUCAUGUGAAUAAAGCAAGGUCAGAAGAAAAAUCUGGGAUGGGCCACUUGGAAUUCACUCAGGCAGGCUUCUGUGUGAAGAAGGCUUAUGGAGCUGCUCUUGUUGUUGUCAGUUACCCUUAAGUUUAGAUUAAGAAUGAUGUUCAGUUAUUUUCUUUGACAGAUGCUAACGAUGCAAAUGAAAAUGAAGAUGCUAACAAGUUAUCGUGCUGCCUUUAAGUUCGUGGAUUAUAACUUCUUUUUGACAUAGAAAAGUACGUUUGAGACAAAAAUGGAUUCUCUUAGUUAUGCCUGCUGUAAUCUUUGACGUUAAUCCUAUUAGCAAAUUUGAUUAACCAACAUGAAAAAGGUGUACAGUUGGUAUUUUUCCAGUUCAGACAUUUUCCUAUUUAGUGUACUCAUUAAGAGGACAUUUAUUAACUUAAGUGCUUGCCUUACCAUAGAGGGCAGUCAUUGUUGUGCUUAGCAACCCUAAAGGAAAUGGAGUGAGGACUUGUGCUUGUGUAGCCAAUCUCAUAACAGGCUCCAGCUCAUGCCAAAAGGAAUCAAUCUGCCAGGAGCCAAAUACGCGCUUGAAUAUUAGCUAGAAACCUAAACUGCCCACAGUCUGUCCAGCAACAGACCGUCCUUUCCUCUCAUUUAUUUGAAGUGAUUUGUUGAAUAUUCUCUGCAAACAAUUAUUAGCCUGUUUGUGAGGAGCUAGGUUUAUUUGAAUGCAUUGUUAGUUUUCUCUGGCUACUGCCUAACAACUUUCUAAUCUGUUUCAUUUUCUAGCUAAAAAAACACGUCAAACACGCUUUUCCAACACAAAUAAUAGCUAUUUUGGAAGUGACAUUUGCUGUCCUGCUCUCAUUUUGAAAUAUGCAUUUACAGUGUGCUGUCUGGUGACCAGCCACCAGCGUUGUUUGCACGCCGUCUGUAUUUACAGCCAUCACCUACUCAAAACAAAUUCACAUUCAUCUCAACUUCACAUACACUUCUUUCUCCAUAAUAUGCACCCAGGUGUAAGGAUGAUGUCUUCCAAAUCUGCCCUGUUCCUGAACAGGGCAGUUACUUAGGUAUGAUGACUUGAAUUCAUAGAACAAGACUCCGGAGGAAAGAAAGAAAGGAAAGAAUAAAACCCGACUGGCUAGAGAUGUUCACCAGGCCUCACUGAACAGAGACGGCUGUAGUCAUUGCUAUUCCUGCGUGCUUUUCCUUCAAAUUUGAUCAGCCAAACAGCACUACAGACAGCAGUCAAAGCGGAGUUGUUCUUAAAUGCUGCAGAUUGUACAUACGCCCAUACAGCCGGCAGUUCUUAGACGUGGAUGUGAAGUCCUGGUGAGAAUAUCUUCCUCGUGUUUAUUUUAACCUUCUGUUUAUAACUGCUGUAAGCACUACAGGAGGAGACAGCGCUGAUUAAUUUUAUUUCCAAAUCUCUUAAAAUAUUAACUGUUUCCAACACCUACUGAGAAACUCUUUGGGAUUUGUGUACAAGAAGGGCCGCACAAUUCCCAUCCAGCUCCUUCAGCUGACGGGCUCUGCACUUUUGCCUCUGUACAGGUGCAGCUUGGCUGGAAUGCCUCCUUUUGGACCAGGUGGUUCAGAAACAACCCAUCAGGUGGCAACUGAUUUUCUUUUUGCAAGUCCAUAUAGUACCUGUAAUGUUUGCCUUUAAGAGCAGUGACCUAUAAUUUAUACGGCGACCAGAGUAUUUACAUAUACAGUAUUUCUUGGUGUUAGUUGUGGGACCACAGGAGAAACACUAGAGCGGAGUCAAACAUGAAAGCAUUUCAAAUGCCUGUUUGCCUUCUUAAAGUGUGUCAUUCUCUGAAAACGGCAGCAGGCUCUAACAGUCUUGUCUGGUAGAAGCUGCUCUUCACUGCCACUCCUGACAACUCCACCAACCCUUCUCCUUCCACCUCUUGUCACUUUUUGGCCAUUUCAAAUGCUGACCCUCAAAGCUAGCAGUUCCCUGUGUAGUUUUGUCUGGAGACAAGAAAGAAAUGUUCUCGUAUCUUAACAGCUUGGCAUUUUUUCUAAUGAGUCUCCUGGGCUUAUCAGACAAUCACUUUUUUUCCCAGCCGUAUCUGAUGCUGCCUUACUAUGAGACCUUUAUAACCCCAAAUCAUACAAAAUAAAUCAUUAUACCAUCAAUAUCAACACAAUUCAGUAACAACAAUUUCUUAGCCUUCUCAUUAUCUAGGAUACAUGCAGCAUUACCAAUAACUGAGCAUCGCCUCCACAUUCUUCACUACCAUCUAACUCCUCACCAGCUGUCUGUGUAAAGCACUGGAUGUGAAGUGCAUUUUAAUGCAGUUGUACAUAAUUUCUACCAUUAGAAACAGCUGUAAGCUUUGCUAAACCUUGACUGCCAUAACAUCCCAGAUUAGGAGGUGCUGGCUCCUCUAGUAAAGAUGCAAAAGCCAGGAGACGAUGUUUGGCCAUGCCUCACGCUUCUAGCAUUGUGAAAAAAUAUGCUCAAAAAUUGGAAUUUGG